rnacentral:rRNA from 1 species
GACGAACGCUGGCGGCGUGCUUAACACAUGCAAGUCGAACGGAAAGGCCCUGCUUUUGUGGGGUGCUCGAGUGGCGAACGGGUGAGUAACACGUGAGUAACCUGCCCUUGACUUUGGGAUAACUUCAGGAAACUGGGGCUAAUACCGGAUAGGAGCUCCUGCUGCAUGGUGGGGGUUGGAAAGUUUCGGCGGUUGGGGAUGGACUCGCGGCUUAUCAGCUUGUUGGUGGGGUAGUGGCUUACCAAGGCUUUGACGGGUAGCCGGCCUGAGAGGGUGACCGGCCAAAUUGGGACUGAGAUACGGCCCAGAAUCCUACGGGAGGCAGCAGUGGGGAAUAUUGCACAAUGGGCGGAAGCCUGAUGCAGCAACGCCGCGUGCGGGAUGACGGCCUUCGGGUUGUAAACCGCUUUCGCCUGUGACGAAGCGUGAGUGACGGUAAUGGGUAAAGAAGCACCGGCUAACUACGUG